UGCAGUUGAGCGAGAUAAGUUGUAGCAAUACGGCUUUGAAAGCGGCGCACGGGUGCGUAACACGUAUGCAACCUACCUUUUACUGGGGAAUAGCCUCUCGAAAGAGAGAUUAAUACCCCAUGAUAUGUUUUGAAGGCAUCUUCGAAAUCUUAAAGCUCCGGCGGUAAAAGAUGGGCAUGCGGUUGAUUAGCUAGUUGGUGAGGUAAUGGCUCACCAAGGCUUCGAUCAAUAGGGGGUCUGAGAGGAUGUCCCCCCACACUGGUACUGAGACACGGACCAGACUCCUACGGGAGGCAGCAGUAGGGAAUAUUGGACAAUGGGCGCAAGCCUGAUCCAGCCAUGCCGCGUGCAGGAUGAAGGCCCUAUGGGUCGUAAACUGCUUUUGUACGGGAAGAAACCUCACUACGUGUAGUGAGUUGACGGUACCGUGAGAAUAAGGAUCGGCUAACUUCGUGCCAGCAGCCGCGGUAAUACGAAGGAUCCAAGCGUUGUCCGGAUUUACUGGGUUUAAAGGGUGCGUAGGCGGACUUUUAAGUCAGUGGUGAAAGCUCGCAGCUUAACUGUGAAAUUGCCAUUGAAACUGAAAGUCUCGAGUGUGGUUGAGGUAACUGGAAUAUAUCAUGUAGCGGUGAAAUGCUUAGAUAUGAUAUAGAACACCAAUUGCGAAGGCAGGUUACUGAGCCACAACUGACGCUGAGGCACGAAAGCGUGGGGAUCAAACAGGAUUAGAUACCCUGGUAGUCCACGCCGUANACGUUGAAUACUCAAUCUUAGCGAUACACAGUUAGGAUCCAAGCGAAAGCGUUAAGUAUUCCACCUGGGAAGUACGUUCGCAAGAAUGAAACUCAAAGGAAUUGA
rnacentral:rRNA from 1 species